AGUGAACGCUGGCGGUAGGCCUAACACAUGCAAGUCGAACGGCAGCACAGUAAGAGCUUGCUCUUACGGGUGGCGAGUGGCGGACGGGUGAGGAAUACAUCGGACUCUACUUUUUCGUGGGGGAUAACGUAGGGAAACUUACGCUAAUACCGCAUACGACCUACGGGUGAAAGCAGGGGAUCUUCGGACCUUGCGCGAUUGAAUGAGCCGAUGUCGGAUUAGCUAGUUGGCGGGGUAAAGGCCCACCAAGGCGACGAUCCGUAGCUGGUCUGAGAGGAUGAUCAGCCACACUGGAACUGAGACACGGUCCAGACUCCUACGGGAGGAAGCAGUGGGGAAUAUUGGACAAUGGGCGCAAGCCUGAUCCAGCCAUACCGCGUGGGUGAAGAAGGCCUUCGGGUUGUAAAGCCCUUUUGUUGGGAAAGAAAAGCAGCAGGUUAAUACCCCGCUGUUCUGACGGUACCCAAAGAAUAAGCACCGGCUAACUUCGUG
rnacentral:rRNA from 1 species